rnacentral:rRNA from 1 species
CCUACGGGAGGCAGCAGUGGGGAAUCUUGGACAAUGGGCGAAAGCCUGAUCCAGCGACGCCGCGUGGAGGAAGAAGUCCUUCGGGAUGUAAACUUCUGAACUAGCCGAAUAAAAGGCCUGUGGACACACAGGAGAAGAAAGUAGGCUAGGAAAAGUCCCGGCUAACUACGUGCCAGCAGCCGCGGUAAGACGUAGGGGGCAAGCGUUACCCGGAAUUACUGGGCGUAAAGGGGGCGUAGGCGGUAAAAGAAGUCAUCUGUGAAAACCUAUUGCUCAACGAUAGGCUAGCGGAUGAAACUGAAUUACUUGAGGGCACCAGAGGUAGACGGAAUUACCCGAGUAGGGGUGAAAUCCGCAGAUACGGGUAGGAACGCCGGUGGAGAAGUCGGUCUACUGGGGUGCACCAGACGCUGAGGCCCGAAAGCUAGGGGAGCAAACCGGAUUAGAUACCCGGGUAGUCCUAGCCGUAAACGAUGCUCACUAGGUGUAGGGAGUGA